CUAAGCUGAUGAGAAACCCUGAGCUGCUUUUUGAAAAUCCCACUCCCUCCCAGGCCAGAGCAUCAGGCCCUCAGCGGCUGCGUAUCUCGCCGAGGCCACCAAAGCCAACGGAGCUGCGCAGAAACACACCACCUGACUCACUUGGCUCUGAACCUUUUGAUUGUUGACUUCAAUGGGGAGAAACUCGGGGCCUCCGUGACUUUUUGCUGACCCCAGAAGAGUUUGAGCAAUAAGCUGUUCUCUUGUCAUGUGCAACUCCCGUAGGAUCUCUCAGUUGAACAGAGCAUCAGCGUGUGCAAGGAUUGGUCCAGUUUCUCUCUGUUGCAUAUUGGUGUGAUAGUAAAGGAUGCAAAACUCCAAACUCCCAAGCCUUCAGCUAUUGAAAAGGCGAAAGGAAAAGGCCUCGGACAGCUGCUGGUCUCCAGGAAACACCACAAGCGGAGACCUACGGCCCCGCAUCCUAAUUACAUCCUUGGGGAGCAAGAGAGAAGACAGAGCCCUGAACACACACCAGUGGAGGCCGUAACGAGGCCCUGCAAAAGAUUUCAAAGUAAAUUCCCUGGAAGCCCAACAAGAGCCCACACUUCCCCCUGUAGUGCAUUCAUGGCGAGGAACCCAGAGAGGAGAAUCACCGUGACCCCAUCUUCAUCAGGAAAAAUAAAUACAUUUUCUUCCAUCUGA
rnacentral:lncRNA from 1 species